AUUGAACGCUGGCGGCAUGCCUUACACAUGCAAGUCGAACGGUAACAGGGAGCUUGCUCCGCUGACGAGUGGCGAACGGGUGAGUAAUGUAUCGGAACGUACCAUUCAGUGGGGGAUAACGUAGCGAAAGUUACGCUAAUACCGCAUAUUCUGUGAGCAGGAAAGCAGGGGAUCGCAAGACCUUGCGCUGAUUGAGCGGCCGAUAUCAGAUUAGCUAGUUGGUGAGGUAAAGGCUCACCAAGGCGACGAUCUGUAGCGGGUCUGAGAGGACGACCAGCCACACUGGGACUGAGACACGGCCCAGACUCCUACGGGAGGCAGCAGUGGGGAAUUUUGGACAAUGGGCGAAAGCCUGAUCCAGCCAUGCCGCGUGCAGGAAGAAGGCCUUCGGGUUGUAAACUGCUUUAGUCUAGGAAAAAGGGGUGCGAGGUUAAUACCCUCGUGCUUUGAUGGUACUGGAAGAAUAAGCACCGGCUAACUACGUG
rnacentral:rRNA from 1 species